rnacentral:rRNA from 1 species
CCGGUCCCGCAAGGGGGAACGAACUGAGAGUAGUGAAGCACAUGGACGUACUGCCAAGAAAAGCCACUAUAGCGUAUCAUCAGCCCGUACCGUAAACCGACACAGGUGGAUGAGGAGAGAAUCCUAAGGCCGGCGGGAGAAGCAUUGUUAAGGAACUCGGCAAAAUGUCCCCGUAACUUCGGGAUAAGGGGAGCCUGCGAGAGCAGGCCGCAGAGAAGAGGCUCAAGCAACUGUUUAGCAAAAACACAGGUCUAUGCGAAACCGAAAGGUGAGGUAUAUGGGCUGACGCCUGCCCGGUGCUGGAAGGUUAAGAGGAGAGGUUAGCGCAAGCGAAGCUUUGAAUUUAAGCCCCAGUAAACGGCGGCCGUAACUAUAACGGUCCUAAGGUAGCGAAAUUCCUUGUCGGGUAAGUUCCGACCCGCACGAAAGGCGUAAUGAUUUGAGCACUGUCUCGGCAAUGCACCCGGUGAAAUUGAAGUACCAGUGAAGAUGCUGGUUACCCGCGCCAGGACGGAAAGACCCCAUGGAGCUUUACUCCAGGUUGAUACUGGGAUUCGGUACUGUAUGUACAGGAUAGGUGGGAGACUUUGAAGUGAUGACGUCAGUUGUCAUGGAGUCGCUGUUGGGAUACCACCCUUAUAGUACUGGGUUUCUAACCAAGGACCGUGAAACCGGUCCGGGGACAAUGUCUGCCGGGGAGUUUGACUGGGGCGGUCGCCUCCGAAAGGGUAUCGGAGGCGCUCAAAGGUUCCUUCAGAAUGGACGGAAACCAUUCGGAGAGUGCAAAGGCAUAAGGGAGCCUGACUGUGACACCGACGGGUGGAACAGAUACGAAAGUAGGACUUAGUGAUCCGGUGGCAUGAAAGUGGGAUUGCCAUCGCUCAACGGAUAAAAGCUACCCUGGGGAUAACAGGCUUAUCACUCCCAAGAGUUCACAUCGACGGAGUGGUUUGGCACCUCGAUGUCGGCUCAUCGCAUCCUGGGGCUGUAGCAGGUCCCAAGGGUUGGGCUGUUCGCCCAUUAAAGCGGUACGCGAGCUGGGUUCAGAACGUCGUGAGACAGUUCGGUCCCUAUCCGGCGCGGGCGUAGGAUAUCUGAGAGGAGCUGUCCUUAGUACGAGAGGACCGGGAUGGACGGACCGCUGGUGUAUCAGCUGCAUCGCCAGAUGCAUAAGGCUGGGUAGCCAAGUCCGGAAGGGAUAAACGCUGAAGGCAUCUAAGCGUGAAGCCCCCCUCAAGAUGAGAUAUCCCUGCUUCGGCAGUAAGACCCCUUAGAGACUAUGAGGUAGAUAGGCACAAGGUGUAAGCAUGGUAACAUGUUCAGCUGAUGUGUACUAAUAGGUCGAGGGCUUGUCCA